CGCUGCCAUGGCGACUCUGCUGCGCCCUGUCCUCCGUCGGCUCUGCGGGCUCCCGGGCCUACAGCGGCCUGCGGCAGAAAUGCCCCUCCGGGCUAGGAGCGACGGCGCCGGCCCGCUAUACUCGCACCACCUCCCCACCUCCCCGCUGCAGAAAGGGCUGUUGGCCGCCGGCUCCGCGGCGAUGGCGCUCUAUAACCCCUACCGCCACGGGAGCGUCCCCGGAUUUCGACAUCCACCCUCGACCUGGGCAAGCUCCAGAGCCUGCCGGAAGGCUCCCUCGGUCGCGAGUAUCUCCGUUUCCUGGAUGUGAACAGGGUCUCCCCAGACACCCGAGCACCCACCCGCUUCGUGGAUGAUGAGGAGCUAGCGUAUGUGAUUCAGCGGUACCGGGAGGUGCACGACAUGCUUCACACCCUGCUGGGGAUGCCCACCAACAUCCUGGCUUGUUCACCUCCCAACACAUCCCUCACCCACAGGGGAGAUCGUGGUGAAAUGGUUUGAGGCUGUCCAGACUGGCCUGCCCAUGUGCAUCCUGGGUGCAUUCUUUGGACCGAUCCGACUUGGCGCUCAGAGCCUGCAAGUGCUGGUCUCGGAGUUGAUCCCAUGGGCCGUUCAGAACGGGCGCAGAGCCCCAUGUGUCCUCAACCUGUACUAUGAGCGGCGCUGGGAGCAGUCCCUGAGGGCUCUGCGGGAGGAGCUGGGCAUUACAGCACCACCCAUGCACGUCCAGGGCUUGGCCUGAGCUCCUGAGCCAGCGGGGCCUGGCCUACCUCCCCCAUCCCCUGCUUCCCUUGGAGGCAGAGGGCUCCCUUGACUACCUUUGUUCCUCUUCUUUGAACACUGACCCUUGGACAACAUUUAUCAUAAUUUGUCAUAACCACUGCUGAGUGGCCUUGAGGACGAACCCCGCAGGGAGCAAGCAGUACAGUGGCAUUCCCAGGGGGACCAGCAGCUACCCAAGGAGAACCAUGCAUGAACAGUAUCAGUCGUCUGGGCUCAUGCUGGGAUGUCGCAGUGCUCCUGUUGCAACUCCUCCCAGCCAGCCAGGUUUGCUGGGGGCCAGGCUGGGUGUCCUCACAGGAGUGAGGGCUACACCCAAUUCCAAAAGCCUGAGAAGAGAGAAGUGGAGGGGGAGGCGAGUGUGUGAAUAAAGGCUCCC
rnacentral:lncRNA from 1 species